GCUUCUAAAAACAAGGAACCCUUCUGUUUAGCUGUCUGGGAGGGUUUGGGACACCUCUUUGCUCCGGCAAUGCAGAUCACGGCUGCCAUUUGCAGUGCUCUUUGUGCUACAUGAGGUACUUCAACCAAAUUCAGUGGCAGAGUAUUCCAAGUGAAGCGUAACCUGAAAGUGGUUGAAAUAAAACUAUGUCCCUUCCCAUAUCAGUAACCACUGCUAGAUUCCUUCCUAUGAGAAGCUUUUUAUUUUUUGCUUAUGGCAGAUAAAGCUACUGUUGACACUACAUGUUUUUUGGGCAACCACACCUCGCUGCUCAAGGAAGAUCAAGAACGAUUGGUGGCAAAGGAAGCCAAGUUCUGGAGCAAAGGAGUGCUGGCAGCCAGCAACUGAGAAGGAAAACACAUUAUGCUUCCAGCCCUGCCACCUACCACUGCUGUAACACGGGGACUGUGAAUGUGGGACAGACAGAGCUCUAGAGAAGAGCAUGGCAAGGCUGAGCACUGUGCGCACAGCUGGGGACAAGAGAAGUGUGCUGGUAUACAGAAGUGAAGAGUUCUAAUAAGUGUGUAU
rnacentral:lncRNA from 1 species